rnacentral:rRNA from 1 species
GAUGAACGCUAGCGGCAGGCCUAAUACAUGCAAGUCGAACGGUGUCUUCGGACAUAGUGGCGCACGGGUGCGUAACACGUAUGCAACCUACCUUACAUUGGGGGAUAGCCUUUCGAAAGGGAGAUUAAUACCGCAUAAGACAGUAGCUGGGCAUCCAGCAGCUGAUAAAGAUUUAUCGAUGUAAGCUGGGCAUGCGUCCAAUUAGCUAGUUGGUGAGGUAACGGAUCACCAAGGCAAUGAUUGGUAGGGGAACUGAGAGGUCAAUCCCCCACACUGGCGCUGAGAUACGGGCCAGACUCCUACGGGAGGCAGCAGUAGGGAAUAUUGGGCAAUGGACGCAAGUCUGACCCAGCCAUGCCGCGUGCUGGAUGAAGGCGUUAUGCGUUGUAAACUGCUUUUAUACAGGAAGAAACGACUCUUGCGAGAGGCAUUGACGGUACUGUAUGAAUAAGCACCGGCUAACUCCGUGCCAGCAGCCGCUGUAAUAC